rnacentral:rRNA from 1 species
UACGGGGGGGGCAAGCGUUGUUCGGAAUUACUGGGCGUAAAGGGCUCGUAGGUGGCCAACUAAGUCAGACGUGAAAUCCCUCGGCUUAACCGGGGAACUGCGUCUGAUACUGGAUGGCUUGAAUUCGGGAGAGGGAUGCGGAAUUCCAGGUGUAGCGGUGAAAUGCGUAGAUAUCUGGAGGAACACCGGUGGCGAAGGCGGCGAUCCUGGACCGAGAUUGACGCUGAUGCGCGAAAGCCAGGGGAGCAAACGGGG